ACAUAAAAGACUCUGUCUGCUGUUAUGUUCUCUGAAAAACAUGAGGAAUGACAUCGGUAUUUUCUUUAUUAAUACAUACAAUAUUUUUUUAACCUAAAAGAUUUAUAAUAUCUAAUCUCACAAUUGAGGAUAUGUCAUCUUUUGUAUAUACAAAAUGGCAAAAGAAUCAUACAGGAACCAUUUUCAACUAAAGGCUGAUCAUACUUCAUUGUUGGCAUCAUGUGAAACCAAGUCUUCUUCCGAGUAAACCUCAACCAGGUCAUUCAUCAAUUAGAUUUACCACCAUUUCACAUGAGAUUUUCUUGAUAAUACUUUAAUGUAGCUUCUGAUGAUUUGCAUCCUUUUGCUUCAGCUGCUAGUGUCGAGCUAAAAUGGCAAUGGUCAACACAUCCACUUCACUGGAUAUGGAAGUAGUUAGAUGUAUGGCCCAUAAUUGGUGACUAGGGGAACAAAUAUUUGUAGAUUGUAUAUUGGGCACCGGUGGUGCUUAUCUUCAAAAAACCUGUGUUUUUCUAUAUGCAAGUAGCCUCUUUUCUCCUGCUGAGGUAUUAUGAAUUUAAGCAUCUUAAAUUGAGCUUGCAGCUUUUGCUUUACUGUCUUAUAAUUGGCCUAAUUGUUCCUACUUCACCAUUGCCCAUGAAAACUCAUAUUCUUUGAAGGUCUUUCUUAAAUUUUCUCGAGUGCUUUUAGUCCAUUUUAUGCUCUUUUCUUUACCUUCCAAAUAUUUCAUGAUGGCCGGGUCAACCUUAAAGAGAUAAACAGAAAGCCUAGAGAAGUGAUGAUGUCAGGUUGAAAUUUCACUCAAAAAUGUUACACAACUGAUGAGUAGUUGCUUCCUUUUGAACUGGAGGUUCUGGCUACAGGAUUAGGAACAAGAAGAAAAUAACACAUCACCUGUAUAAAUUUUAUUUGCAAUAUUUCUAUUUUAUUAAAGCAAUUCUCAUU
rnacentral:lncRNA from 1 species